rfam:Myotis brandtii contig215451, whole genome shotgun sequence.
GUUGGGGGGGGUGGGAAUCCCUCAACCCGGAUUGCGAGAGGGUGCAGGCCAGGCCGAGAGAUCUCACCGGUGCACA